GCCAGAGUGGCCUAGCUGUUUGAGCGUUGAACUAGGACUCUGGAGACCAGGGUUCGAAUCCCCGCUCGGUCA